UUGAACGCUGGCGGCAGGCCUAACACAUGCCAGUCGAGCGGAUGAAGGGAGCUUGCUCCUGGAUUCAGCGGCGGACGGGUGAGUAAUGCCUAGGAAUCUGCCUGGUAGUGGGGGAUAACGUCCGGAAACGGGCGCUAAUACCGCAUACGUCCUGAGGGAGAAAGUGGGGGAUCUUCGGACCUCACGCUAUCAGAUGAGCCUAGGUCGGAUUAGCUAGUUGGUGGGGUAAAGGCCUACCAAGGCGACGAUCCGUAACUGGUCUGAGAGGAUGAUCAGUCACACGGGAAGUGAGAAAGGGCCCAGAAUCUUACGGGAGGCAGCAGUGGGGAAUAUUAGGCAAUGGGCGAAAGGCUGAUACAGGCAUGUCGGGUGUGUGAAGAAGGUCUUCGGAUUGUAGAGCACUUUAAGUUGGGAGGAAGGGAAGUAAGUUUAUACCUUGCUGUUUUGACGUUACCGGCAGAAUAAGCACCGGCUAACUUCGUG
rnacentral:rRNA from 1 species